CAGAAAAUAGUUUAUUAAAAUUUUAACUUUGGAAGUUAACGAUCAGCUCCCCCUGUUUUCUGA
rnacentral:tRNA from 1 species